CCUGGCGGCCGUAGCGCGGUGGUCCCACCUGACCCCAUGCCGAACUCAGAAGUGAAACGCCGUAGCCCAUGCCGAACUCAGAAGUGAAACGCCGUAGCGCCGAUGGUAGUGUGGGGUCUCCCCAUGCGAGAGUAGGGAACUGCCAGGC
rnacentral:rRNA from 1 species